GGCGAAGGGGGCUAGCGUUGUUCGGAAUUACUGGGCGUAAAGCGCGUGUAGGCGGUUAUCCAAGUCGGGUGUGAAAGCCUUGAGCUCAACUCAAGAAAUGCACUCGGUACUGGGUGACUAGAGGACCGGAGAGGAUAGUGGAAUUCCCAGUGUAGUGGUGAAAUACGUAGAGAUUGGGAAGAACACCAGUGGCGAAGGCGGCUAUCUGGACGGUUUCUGACGCUAAGACGCGAAAGCGUGGGGAGCAAACAGG
rnacentral:rRNA from 1 species